GUAGGUGGCAAGCGUUGUCCGGAAUUAUUGGGCGUAAAGCGCGCGCAGGUGGGUUCUUUAAGUCUGAUGUGAAAGCCCCCGGGCUCAACCGGGGAGGGUCAUUGGAAACUGGGGAACUUGAGUGCAGGAGAGGAAAGUGGAAUUCCACGUGUAGCGGUGAAAUGCGUAGAUAUGUGGAGGAACACCAGUGGCGAAGGCGACUUUCUGGCCUGUAACUGACACUGAGGCGCGAAAGCGUGGGGAGCAAACAGGAUUAGAUACCCUGGUAGUCCACGCCGUAAACGAUGAGUGCUAAGUGUUGGGGGGUUUCCGCCCCUCAGUGCUGCAGCUAACGCAUUAAGCACUCCGCCCGGGGAGUACGGUCGCAAAGACUG
rnacentral:rRNA from 1 species